rnacentral:misc_RNA from 1 species
CAAAAGUUAAACACUUGGGGAACGGGCUCGCCUGUUCGGGGCUCGAGGCCUGACUCAUUUGUAACAAACUUUCAACCACUUGUGAAUUUGUAACAAAUUUUCUCACCAAUUGACUGUUAACGAACAGUCUGAUUCAAAUUGUAUUGGUGUUUAUAGACACUAGUAAAAUAUGAAA